UGAGGAAUAUUGCUCAAUGGACGAAAGUCUGAAGCAGCAACGCCGCGUGAGGGAUGAAGGUGCUCUGCAUUGUAAACCUCUGUAGUCGGGGAAAAAUGGCGGGUUAUUACCCGUUUGAUGGUACCCGAAAAGUAAGGAUCGGCUAACUACGUGCCAGCAGCCGCGGUAAUACGUAGGAUCCAAGCGUUGUCCGGAUUUACUGGGUGUAAAGGGUGCGCAGGCGGACUUAUAAGUUAGAGGUGAAAUCUCUCGGCUCAACCGGGAAACUGCCUUUGAUACUGUAAGUCUUGAAUCCGAGAGAGAUUUGUGGAAUUCCGAGUGUAGCAGUGAAAUGUGUAGAUAUUCGGAAGAACACCAGUGGCGAAGGCAGCAAAUUGGCUCGGUAUUGACGCUCAGGCACGAAAGCAUGGGGAUCAAACAGGAUUAGAUACCCGUGUAGUCC
rnacentral:rRNA from 1 species